rnacentral:rRNA from 1 species
GACUGUUUAUCAAAAACACAGGUCUCUGCUAAACCGUAAGGUGAUGUAUAGGGGCUGACGCCUGCCCGGUGCUGGAAGGUUAAGAGGAGGUUAGCUUCUGCGAAGCUACGAAUCGAAGCCCAGUAAACGGCGGCCGUAACUAUAACGGUCCUAAGGUAGCGAAAUUCCUUGUCGGGUAAGUUCCGACCCGCACGAAAGGCGUAACGAUUUGGGCACUGUCUCAACGAGAGACUCGGUGAAAUCAUAGUACCUGUGAAGAUGCAGGUUACCCGCGACAGGACGGAAAGACCCCGUGGAGCUUUACUGUAGCCUGAUAUUGAAAUUCGGCACAGCUUGUACAGGAUAGGUAGGAGCCUUUGAAACGUGAGCGCUAGCUUACGUGGAGGCGUUGGUGGGAUACUACCCUAGCUGUGUUGGCUUUCUAACCCGCACCACUUAUCGUGGUGGGAGACAGUGUCAGGCGGGCAGUUUGACUGGGGCGGUCGCCUCCUAAAAGGUAACGGAGGCGCUCAAAGGUUCCCUCAGAAUGGUUGGAAAUCAUUCAUAGAGUGUAAAGGCAUAAGGGAGCUUGACUGCGAGACCUACAAGUCGAGCAGGGUCGAAAGACGGACUUAGUGAUCCGGUGGUUCCGCAUGGAAGGGCCAUCGCUCAACGGAUAAAAGCUACCCCGGGGAUAACAGGCUUAUCUCCCCCAAGAGUUCACAUCGACGGGGAGGUUUGGCACCUCGAUGUCGGCUCAUCGCAUCCUGGGCUGUAGUCGGUCCCAAGGGUUGGGCUGUUCGCCCAUUAAAGCGGUACGCGAGCUGGGUUCAGAACGUCGUGAGACAGUUCGGUCCCUAUCCGUCGUGGGCGUAGGAAAUUUGAGAGGAGCUGUCCUUAGUACGAGAGGACCGGGAUGGACAUACCUCUGGUGUACCAGUUGUCGUGCCAACGGCAUAGCUGGGUAGCUAUGUAUGGACGGGAUAAGUGCUGAAAGCAUCUAAGCAUGAAGCCCCCCUCAAGAUGAGAUUUCCCCAACUUCGGUUAUAAGAUCCCUCGAAGAUGACGAGGUUAAUAGGUUCGAGGUGGAAGCGUGGUGACACGUGGAGCUGACGAAUACUAAUCGAUCGAAGACUUAAUCAAUUUUUAAA